rnacentral:rRNA from 1 species
GGAAACCUCACCAGGUCCAGACAUAGGAAGGAUUGACAGAUUGAAAGCUCUUUCUUGAUUCUAUGGGUGGUGGUGCAUGGCCGUUCUUAGUUGGUGGAGUGAUUUGUCAGGUUAAUUCCGUUAACGAACGAGAUCUUAUCCUGCUAAUUAAAGGCAAGAACAUUGUUUUUUGUUCCUUUUCUUAGAGGGACUUUGCGUGUUUAACGCAAGGAAGUUUGAGGCAAUAA